GUAGACCGCCAGGGGAUUAAAAAGAGAGAGAGAGAGAGUCGCCAGCUCCUUCAGUUGACUUCUGCUUUGUCCUAAAUUCAGAGCGUUAUCUGGUUCAGGCUGAAAAACGCUCGCUGCAGCUUGUUUUUCUCAAUGCACAGCGCCUCGACGCCAUGAGCUGCUACUACUGCUGUGCAAUGAAUGAGGCUCUCUCUCUCUUUUUCCACUGCCUUCAAAAGCUUUCUGCCAAACAUGCAGCAGUUGCCAUGGCUGCAGAGAAUGGAACAUAAAAAAGCCUGGCCCCUGAGCAGCUGGGGAGCAUUGGUUGUCACAUUCAGCCUCCCGCCGUGGUGAAAGAUGGGAGGGCAGGAGGUGAGUGCUGUCCUCCUGUCUGUGUGAUAAAGCCCCCUUAACCACAGUGUCUGGGCAUCUGGGCAUCUGGGCACACGACGCCUCACCUCCCUCAUUCACUUCAAAGGCUUGUCUCAGAAAACGGCUCGCUGUGAGGAGCCGGAAUAGAAAGUAGAGCUGGAACGACGAUUACAACCGUGUCUGUGUGAAUCCACGGAGGAUAAUCACAGUUUAUUACAACUUGGGUUUUCAUAGCUUUGGCCAUUAAUUCAAUCUGAUGUGACAAUAUUGUACUCACAAAAGUAAUUGUUAAAUCUGGAAAAUGGCGACAUUAGAAGAAAGCAGUCAGACAGGUUGUAGACAAGUCAAAAACUUUAUCUACACAACUUUAUUUGCAGGUAAAAUCGAACACGGAGUACUGGUAAUGUUGGUAAUGAUCUCUUAUAGCCAUCACACAAGAACACUCGUAUGCAAGUUUGGCAAGAAUGAUGAACCAAGAACUCUCUGUAAACUGUGAUGGAUGUUUACCAGCGACAAUCUGGGUAAUCAUUUUCCCUUUUGCCUUUUAUUUCUUCUGUAAUUAAGUUAGGCUAACCCGGGAUUGGUUUAAAACUACAGGGGCUGUCACAUUUUUUUUCGAAUCACAAAUUCAAACUACUUGUCAAAUGUAUAUAAAUAAAUAAUCUGUAAUAAUUUGUUCAAAUUCUAAAUUCUCAGAGUAGAAGUGCAUUUCAGGCCAUUGUUAAAUUAGCUGACGCAAAAUGGAGAAAACUAGUGAGCCGUACUGAACAUACAGUUUAAUCAUGUCAACAAGCCAUCUGAGAAGUAAUGUAAGGCAAUUUAGAUUCAACACUAGAUGGACAAAUUAUGGAUUGAGGUAAAGCUAUUUGCUGACUUUGUAAAAUGUUAUAUUUUACAGUAUGUCAGCUUGUCACUCAAGUGAGACGAGACCAGUGUUGGGGGUAACGCGUUAGAGUACUCACAUUACUUUUUUGUAACGAGUAAUGUAACAUGUUAGUUAUGCAAUUCAAGUAACCAGUUAUUUAGUUGUUUUCAAGUAAGCAAUCCGUAUUUCCGGUUUCUUGCAACAAAAACAAAAU